UACGGGGGGGGCAAGCGUUGUUCGGAAUUACUGGGCGUAAAGGGUGCGUAGGCGGCUUUCUAAGUUGGAUGUGAAAACUCUGGGCUCAACCCAGAGACUGCAUCCAAAACUGGAGAGCUUGGGGUUCUGGAGGGGAAAGCGGAAUUCCUGGUGUAGCGGUGAAAUGGCGUAGAUAUCAGGAGGAACACCGAUGGCGAAGGCAGGGUCU
rnacentral:rRNA from 1 species